GACGAACGCUGGCGGCGUGCUUAACACAUGCAAGUCGAACGGAAAGGCCCUGCUUUUGUGGGGUGCUCGAGUGGCGAACGGGUGAGUAACACGUGAGUAACCUGCCCUUGACUUUGGGAUAACUUCAGGAAACUGGGGCUAAUACCGGAUAGGAGCUCCUGCUGCAUGGUGGGGGUUGGAAAGUUUCGGCGGUUGGGGAUGGACUCGCGGCUUAUCAGCUUGUUGGUGGGGUAGUGGCAUACCAAGGCUUUGACGGGUAGCCGGCCUGAGAGGGGGACCGGCCACGUUGGGACUGAGAUACGGCCCAGACUCCUACGGGAGGCAGCAGUGGGGAAUAGUGCACAACGGGCGGAAGCCUGAUGCAGCAACGCCGCGUGCGGGAUGACGGCCUUCGGGUUGGAAACCGCUUUCGCCUGUGACGAGGCGUGAGUGACGGUAAUGGGUAAAGAAGCACCGGCUAACUACGUG
rnacentral:rRNA from 1 species